GGAUGACGUUCCGUCCUGCUGAUGUUUGUUUGUUUUUUUUAUUUUCCAGCAGUGACUGCUGUGCAACACCAGCAGCUCUCACUCGUGUGCCACUUGCACCAAAGGGCCAACAGUUUGUUCAUCGAUCAGUUCGGGCUCCCGAGCGCCACGGAUGGUUGUGCCGCGCAGUCGGAGCUCCCAGGGCUUGCGGCGUCCUUGACGCUCUUUUGGUUCAGUUCUCAUUUUCCCAGCUGAAAGCCUGCUGGAUUUGUGGUUGAGCGCCCCCAAGAGAGCCCCGCGCAUCCGUUGGCGGUGUGCUGAUCCAUCGAUCGGCCGACUUUGACUUUUUCCCCAACUGGUGUUGACGUGAGGCCCAAAAGAAAAAUCACGAUGGCUGCAGUUACACUGACCUCUUCCUUUCUUCCUUCCACAGCGUUGGAGAGGAGAGGUGGGAGAAAUUAUCCUUUGUGUCCAGCAGCUGUGGAGAGAAGGAGCUUCUCCGUGUCUCUGAUUUUGUCCUCGUCCCGGCCGUGAUUGAAAUCGCAGAGCAUAAAACGACCUUAGAAUUUCCAUGAUGCAAUCGGGGAGAAGAGAGGGAGAGAGAAGAAAAUAAAACAUUGCGCCGAGCAGCGGGAUGAGAGCGAUUGAGACGCAGUGCAUUAUGGGAAGUGUGUACCCACGCUCUCGCCUGAUGUCUGACGCUCAACUGUGUCACGAGCUGUACUCUCUUCUCAUCGCGGGCUCUUUGUGGAGAACACACACACAUCAGCGAGACGUGCAGGGCCUCCUCGACUCGGUCGCGUCAUGGGCCCCGGUGCCUGCUGGGACGCUCCCUCAUUACUAUGUUCCUGGAAGCUGGGAAAUAAAGCGCUACCGGCGCGGAGCUGUCACACACUGUGUGUGUUACACCGGCGGCGGGACCCCAUAA
rnacentral:lncRNA from 1 species